UAGGAAGAGCUGUCUGGUCCUAGGGACAGCGGAGUGUCCCCCAGAGUCCUCCUGCUAUGUAACUUGCAGGUAGCUCCUGGUCUCAGAGCAGCAGUGGCUGACUCUCUGGCCUUCACUAAGAUUCUGAGAACUAUUAAAACCUUUACUUAAUAAAGGCUUUGGGGGAGUUUUUUUUCUUAAACUAGCUAGAGUGGGUUGUUUAAAAAAUCAGAGACCUUGAAAGAUUCAUGUAGCCUAAAAAUAAAUUCGGGGUUGUCUUCAAAUUAUGACAUACUUCUAAUCCUAGAUCUGCUCAUUUAUGUGAAACAUACUGCAUUAAUUUCUAUUCCAUAUCCUAUAAUCACAGAAUUCUAGAGUCUUAGACAUAAAAGGAUCCUUUUAGAGACUAUUUUAUCACUUACUUUUGGCUUUGAGCAAAUCUUCACACCACACCCAUGUGAGGGAACCAAGCUUCUCCUGAAAUAAACAGCAACAAAAGAUAAUUUAUAUGAGCUGAAAUGUCUUUGUGCCAGCCAUCCUGUGAGUAGGGCUGGGAGGGCACUCUCAGGAAGUUUUUUUUAAAUGUGGGAAACAGGUGAAGGGCCUGCAGGCUGUAACCUAAUUUAGUCAGACACUUGUGGUAGGGAAAAAAAAAGCCAGUGACCUAUAAAUCAGUCAUUUUUCUGUAAUAUCUAGUGAAACCAGGUCACUUACUCCAGCCCUAACUUUGUUCACCUGAUCUCUUGGCAUUUAGUUAGUUACGAAUUUCCUUUUGAUAAGGUUUAUUAAUACAUGUAUAGGAGAAACAAAAGUAUAUGGCAAAACCCACAGGAAUUUUUGGAAGGUGUCUCCCCUUAAAGGAUCCACCUAUACCCCAGGUAUGUUGUAGCUGAAUUACGCUAGGAUCACAAAUUGUUAGAACAGUUAUGAUAAUUUUCUUCCUUAGUACAUUAAAAAAGAAUAUGGUAAAACUUUCUUUUGAUUUGACUUCCCUCUUCAGUGCAAGGUUAUAAUCACCAAAGGACCACAAGAAUGACCUCCAACUAGAACUAUUUAUCCCCCAAGGACGGCUGAGUGAGUGAGGGUGGCUGUUAGGCUGGGGUGGGUAUCAGAAUUACUGAAGGGUGCUAUGGCCACUCUCCUCCUCUCGGUUGUCACAGGCCUCCUUUGGUUAGGAUGGCAAAGAAACAGAGCUCUGGGCUGGCUGAUCAGAAACACUUUAAUGCAAAAUGCAUUAGCUGGCAAUUUCACCUUAUCCAGUCCAGAGAACUCUGCCCCAAAGUUAAAAAAAAAAUCUACCCUGGUCACAAAAGGGGAUAAAAGCCAAUCACAGUUGUAAAAACAUAUCUUACAGUUUUACAAAGAGAUAUUUCUCUAAAGUAAACCAUUUUGUGACUAUAUUUCUGAGACCAUUAGCCUCCUGUUGUUUCUCCAUUCCUCUCUGCCUGUAGUCCCUUGAACAUAUUCAAGGCCACUUGUCCUGGUUCCCCAUGGUAUGUGGCCCCAACUGAGAUUCACCUCCAGGAGGAGUUGGGGUUCUUUAGAAAAAAACAGAGGACAGGAGUUCCUGCUGUGGCACAGUGGGUUAAGAACCUGACCGCAGGGGCUCAGGUUGUUGUGAGGCAGCAGGUUUGAUUCUUGACCUAAUGCAGUGAGUUAAAGGAUCCAGCGUUGUAGUACAUGUGGUGGAAGUGGCAGCUGCGGCUUGAAUUCAACUCCUGGCCUUUAUGCUGUGGGUGCAGCCAUUAAAAACAAACAAACAACCCCUCUCCUAAAAAAUGAACCACGCCCCCGCCUCCCCCAAGGAUAGAUCUUGUCAUAGCUGGUUUCUUUUUUCCCUUAAUUUCAAGUGACAAUUACUGCCUCCUUUCACUUUAACUUGAAAUACCAUGCUCAGCAGGCAGCCGGACAGACCACUACACAAAGAGCAGGGAGUUCCCCUUGUGGUGCAGCAGAAAUGAAUCCGACUAGUAGCUAUGAGGAUGCAGGUUUGAUCCCUGGCCUUGUUCAGAGGGUUGGGGAUUUGGUGUUGCUGUGGCUGUGGUGUAGGCUGGCAGCUGCAGCUCCAAUGUGACCCCUAGCCUGGGAAUUUCCAUAUGAGGCAGGUGUGUCCCUAAAAGCAAGAGAAAAACAAGAACAAAACCCACGAAAGAGCAUAUGGUGACCACUUAGUCCACCUCCCACGCCUGAUGCCCAUUUCCCUGAUCCCUCAUUCCCCUCUGAGGAAGCAACUAUCAUUAACCUGUUUCUUGUUUAUAAUCUCAGAGAUAUUCUUUCCUACAUGAGUAAGUAUGUGGGGUAUGCAUGUAUAUAUAUAUUCUCCUGUUACACACAAACAUAUGCUCAUACAUUGUUUAUACACACAUUUUUUAUUAACAAAUAGAGAUAAUUCUGUAUUAGCACACAGCCCUAUUCUUUUUGAUGGCUGCAGAACAUUUAACUGUAACAGAGAACAUGAUAAUUUCUCUAGUAAACUCUAAUUACUCUCUUUUCCCCUCAUCUCCUAUCCUGUCAACUCUAAAUUAAAGAAAGAACACAGCAGCAUUUGAUAUUAGCCACAGAGUUUUACCCUCCAAUCACCUAAAUGGCAUUUCCAUUUAGGUACUAAAUGGAUUGGAGGGUAUUUUGCCAUAAACAUUUUUUUUUGUUUUUGUUUUGUUUUGUUUUUCUUUUUAGGGCCACACCCCAGGCAUAUGGAGGUUCCCAGGCUAGGGGUAAAUUAGAGCUAGAGCUGCUGGCCUACACCACAGCCACAGCAAUGCAGGAUCUGAGCUGAGUCUGUGACCUACAUCACAGCUCACAGCAAAACCAGAUCCUUAAUCCACUGAGUAAGGCCAGGGAUCGAACUGACAACCUCAUGGUUCCUAGUUGGAUUCGUUUCUGCUGCACCAUGAUGGGAACUCCUUUUUUCCUGUUUUUAAAGCCUGUUUUUAACAGAAAAACUUUAAAUCUUAUUUCUCUCAAAUAGUUUAUCUCGGCACUAGUCCCUUACGUACUGAUACUAAAUAUGCAUAGGAUUGAUUUUAUUAUUCCCACGUGGUAAUGAUAAAAUUCAUUUCCUAUUUUCAGUUAGGGUGAGGUGACCAGAGGACACUGAGAGUAGCCCAGAAAUUCUGAAGGAUAGGGAUGGAUAGGCAUCUCUGUCCUGCCCCAAGGAGUUCUCUAGCUGUCUUGACCUCAGAAAACCUGCCCUUGGAAUUUCUGCUGGCAUAUAUUUGGAUGCAACCAAUCUGAUCUUCUGGUCCAUUCCUUUAGAGUUGCUAAGGAACUCUGAACUUUCUCCUGAUGGGGUCACUGGACAUCACCAUAACCAAGGGCUCUACCAAAGUCUCAAAGCCCAGGAAAGUGACAGUGAAGGAAAAAAAAAAAAAAAAACCCACUGUGUUGCCCUCCCCUCACCACCAUUAACAAUUUACAACCAACAAUGGUUCUCUUUCAUCAUCCCACCAAAUACAAUGGCAAGAGAAAGAAGCUCCUAGUAAUUCCACAUAUUUCCGCUGCUACCAAGACUCACAAGCCUGUAACAUCAUCCUUAGUGUAAAGAAAAGUCCAGAGGACAAACACCUUAGGGUGAACAACCUUUCUUUGAAAGAAGUAGCAACAUCACUUUCUGGUGUUAUGGCCACAGGUGGUCAGCUGUCCUCCAAAAAUUUAUGUUCCCUUCCUUCUGAAGGGAGAGCAGUUGGGGGAGUAAUUGCCCAACCAGGGUUAAUUUUUCCUAGCCAGCUUGCAUUUAUUUAGGUGCACUGGUUCUCACUAGGGGAAAGUGAGUGGAAGUAACCUGUGUGAUUUCUGGACUCAAGAGGUUAAAAAACUGGCAUACCUUCUCUACUCUUCCUCUUUCUCCAUCUUCUGGCUGGAUGUUGACAGAGAGGCGGAUCUUCACAGGAGGCAGAAUCUCCUCCAGCCUGGGUAUCUAAAUGGUUACCUGGAACAGGGCUGUCUCCUCCCUUCCUCACCCCCCCCCUUACACAUCUACUUGGUUUUACAUAAACAAGAAAUAAACUGUCAUUACGUUAAGCCACUGAGGUUUCCAUGUUUAUCUGAGCCCAGGGCUUCAACAGCUAGCACUUGUUAACAUAUAUAGAUAUUUACCAUAGGAAAUGUCUUUGCAAGAAAACGUAUACAUGAACAUCAAUUAUAGCACGGUUCACUCUGAGCAAAAAAAUGGAAAGAACAACUUAGCUUAUUCAUCUGUGAACUACUACACAGUAGUUAAAAGUGAGUAGGUCUACAUAUAUCAAUAUGGAGAAAAAAAAUCUCAAAAACAGUCUUGAAUGGAAAAGGCCAGUUACUAAGAGAUGUGCACAGGAUAAUCUUCCAUACAAUUUAAAAACACAUAAAAUGAUAUAAUACUGUUGAUAGUCAUAUACCUAUACAGUAAAAGUGCCAAAAUGUGUAUGGAGAAAAUACAUUCAGGUUAGUGAUCCGCACUAGGAAAGGAAGGAGAAGAAAAUAUUGUGGGGGGAGGGGAGAGGGAUGCUUUAACUAUAAUUGUAGCUUUAUUCAUUAUGAGGCGGUCUCCUACCUUGGUUCCUUUUUAAAGUUGGGAUCUGAGGGCUCCCUCAAAAUAGCACCCCCUUUCCCACCUAAGUGCCAAACCAAAUAAAAGAAAAUCAACGAUUCAGACAGCCUGACAACAAAAGUUCACAUUUAUUAGAUGAUGAGGAUGUGGCUCAGAUAUGAAAUUCUAAAUGAUGGACCCCAGGAAUAGACAAGAGUAAUGAUUCAUUUACCCACAGGGCUGGACCUACCAUCAAUGACCCUACAGGUGCCUUUAAAUCUUAGCUCCUUACAUGGCAGAAGGCGGUCAAACCUUAGGUUCUGGGUGGGCAAGCAUGCGCUCAAGAGGAAGAGGAUAGCAGAGGACAGCCCUAAGCAUGAGUAGUUUCCAUUUCCAAACCUGCCAGUGAGGGCAGACUCCACCAUCCAGGAGCAGGAGUGAGACAUUAGCAAGACACCAGGGUGUCUCACCAGCCCAGCUCCCUUCAUGGAGAAGGACAUCUCAGGAGAGGAUAAAAAUGUACCACUCCCCCUCCCCCACAGUUGGUGUGUCCUAAAUUCUGGAGACAGUUACACAGGUGUCUGUAGUAUUAAAUGCUGUAUUAUUUGUGUAUUUGAAAUAGUUCAUAAUUAAAACUUUAACUUAGAAGAAUCCUUAGUAUAAAUGCCUCACAGCUCUGCUCAAAUGUUCUCCUGUGAUACAGAAAGCAAUCUUUAAAGGUGGUACUUGAAUCAAAUUAAAAUUCAUAGUAAAAAACAAAAGCACUGGGACCAAAUAGCUUUGUCAGGUAGAUCAAAAUGAGCCUGUCAAGGAGUUCCCAUCGUGGCUCAGUGGAAACGAAUCUGCCUAGGAUCCAUGAGGAUGCAGAUUCCAUCUCUGGCCUUGCUCAGUGGGUUAAGGAUCUGUCAUUGCCGUGAGCUGUGGUGUAGGCUUGGAUCUGGCAUUGCUGUGGCUGUGGUGUAGGCCGUGGCUGCAUCUCUGAUUUGACCCCUAGUCUGAGAACCUCCAUAUGCUACAGG
rnacentral:lncRNA from 1 species